AAGUCGUAACAAGGUUUCCGUAGGUGAACCUGCGGAAGGAUCAUUAUAGUAUAUGGAAUCUCCAUUCUACAAACCCACUCUGUGUAUCUUGUAACUGUUGCUUCCAUGGGACUUGGUCCUGCCACACCGGCUUCACGGCUGGUGAGCGCCCAUGGGAGGGAAGAAACAAACUACUUCUUUGAAUGUAGUCAGGUCUGGACUAAAGUUUUAUAAAACUGAUUAAAC
rnacentral:misc_RNA from 1 species